rnacentral:rRNA from 1 species
UGGGAGGUAAAUUUCUCCUAAGGCUAAAUAACGGCGAGAGACCGAUAGCGAACAAGUACCGUGAGGGAAAGAUGAAAAGAACUUUGAAAAGAGAGUUAAACAGUACGUGAAAUUGUUGAAAGGGAAACGAUUGAAGCCAGUCGUACCUUCGGGUAAUCAGCCGUUCGGGUGUGAUUCUGUGGAGUUUGAGGAGCUUAACACCUUCAUGCUUUGCAUAUUCGUGCUCUUGGGUGUACUUGCCCGUGUGGUUGGUUAACAUCAAUUUCGGGCACCAUAAAAUGGCUGGAGGAAUGUAGCUUCGAUCUUGUAUUGAAGUGUUAUAGCCUUCGGUAGAUGUGGUGAUCGAGAUUGAGGAUUGCAACGGAUACCUUUCGGGGCUACCUGUCUGAUCUCUGAUCGUUGUUUUGGUGCUGAAAGCGUGCUUAUAGUUAUCAAAGUCGAUGGUCAAUAGGUUAGAAUGGGUUAAAUUCGUUAAGGAUGUUGACGUAAUGGCUUUAAACGACCCGUCUUGAAACACGGACCAAGGAGUCUAACAUAUAUGCGAGUGUUAGGGUAAUUAAACCCUUACGCGUAAUGAAAGUAAUUUUGGUGGGAACAUUUUUGUGCACCAUCGACC